GUCUAAGACAACUAAGUUGGAACUAAGUUCCCACUUAAAUCCGUGCUUGCUCAAGGAUGUAGUAUUAGGAAGGAGGGAAGGAUGAGAUGAAGGAGGAAAGGAAGAAGGGAGGCAGAAAGAAAGAAAAGGAAGGAGAAGGAAACAGGAGAUGGAGAGGAAGUAUGGAAGAACCCAGAGCUUUGGCCGCACUCAGACCACAGGAACCAGAGAAGUCUUCCAAGGGAACGGAGAACUCGCUGAGUCAUGGACACCAGGAAAGUCCAAGUCCCUCUGAAAAACAUUGGCAAUCUGAGCUUGGGUGAUCAGAGAUUUCACUCUACUCGACUCAAGGGCUAUGUGACAAUUCCUACCAAAGUAGCAAAUCAAAGCCCGGUGUGAACAGGAAGCAGCAAGCGGGCAGAAAGACGGAUGGGACGAGAUUCUUCCUCCGUGUCUUCUAUGCUUCAUGACUAUCCCGUUUUUCUUCCUGAUGCUGUGACCAAAAGCAAUUUAGGGAAGAGAGGAUUUACUUUGGCCCAGAGACUCGGAGAGACAAAGAGUUCCAUCAGGGUGGAGAAGACAUGGCGAUAGCCAGGGAAUGCAUGGUGACAGGAACAGGGAGAGGACUGAUUGUAUCCCACCACGACGGGAAGUGGGGGGAGAGAGAGAGGGAGGGGGAGAGAGGGAGAGAGGGAGAGAGGGAGAAUCGGAAGUGGGGCCAGGCCAUAAACCCUCGAAGCCCUUCCUUUGAGAAGUUCUUCCCCCUCCAAGGCUCCGCUUCCUAAAGGCUCUAUCAUGCUCCUGAGUACAGCACCACCAGCUUGGGAAUGAGCAUUGAAACAUACAAGCUUAUGGGAGUAUUCCAUAUUCAAACCACAGUGGUCCGCAGCCAGCCUUCAUCUGUUGUCACAAUUCCUCAUUCCGUCUUUCUUGUGCCCUCUGCUUCCAGUAGCUUCUCAGUUUCCCUUUGCUGCCUUCUUGACUGCAUCUACCCUCAGUUUGUCUUCUCUCUUCUUUCUUUCCUAUCUAGAGAUGAGGGCAGAGAUGCACACACAUGCAUGUGCACAUGGGUGUGCAGGUGUACAGAUUGCAUCAGAAUAGACUUGCUUGUACUGAAAUCCAGGGAGAAACCCAUCUGCCCAUUACCCCAGAAGUAGGUUCUAGGAGGGAGAUAGGACGAAUGGGACCCUCACCUAGAAUUCCAUCCUUCUCUCUGUGUGAUUUUCUUUUUUCUAGAUAGGCCUUCCCACUGUGUUUGAUUUCCUUUUUCUUUCAGGAAGGAGACCAAGGUAGGAUGUCAUAAGUGUGUGCCUAUGUCAUCCUCUUCCAUGUGUUCUAAGAACUAAAGUGACAGAGGCCAGCUCUGGACUUAGGCCAAAUUCCCUGAAACACUGUAUCAUCUCACUUCAGCCAACGAUUUUUUUUCCUGACUUAUUUCCCAAGUAACAACCAGCAUUAGGACCCAAGUCCUCUUCCGACACUGUAGGGAUGGAUAAUGGACAGAAGAUUCCACAGAGGCCUUUGAGUGACUCUGAUUUCAUGUAACUUUGGUAACAAAAUCAUUUUUAUUUGAACAAGUAAAUAGACAGUCACUUAUCAAAAAAAAAAAAUAGUCAAGUUUCUUACGGUAAAUACCCAAUAAAUGAAACAGUUAGUCAUAGCAACAUUGUAUGCCUCAUGUUGUGCUUCUAGCUAUAUAAAAUAUCUCCAAAUAGUCUUUGUGAUGAAGGGCCCAGGGUUACCACGUCUCCUUUCUAGUACAUGGUCCCAGUGCAUUAUUGCAGCACCCCAGUGUUCAGACAUAAAUGCUAAAAGCAGCAAGAAAAGGAAAUUUCUAGCUUGAAAUAAAAACAGGUUGGCAGUUUGAGUGUUGAAGUAAGAGGGACAGGCAGUAUUACCUGCUUCAGAGACACCGUUCCCCUUCUUGUAUUUGCACUGAGAACACCUGUGCUGAGAUGGGAUAUCUAUCACCACGCCCCCUUGCUCUGCCACGCCCCUUGCUCUGCCACGCCCCUUGCUCUGCCAUGCCCCCUUGCCCUCAUCUUCCCCUGUUCUCCAUAACUGCUCUGUUCCCUUCACAGAUGUCCUCAGGCUCCUUUUUCACUGCUUGACAACAGUCCAAAGGUAUCACCUGCAGCCUGAGGCACAUCCUCACAACCUUCAAGCCUGUCUCACAAUGUGCAUAAGUUCACUCUCCACCAGCUUUCAUUGCUAAGGGUCUUCUCUGCAGCCUUGCAGACUAAAUGAUCAUGGUCGAAGAAGAUACAUUUUAAUGUAGCAAUCUUGCUCAUUUAAAACAGCGAGAUCAAGUAUCCUGGCAGUGUCGGGCUAAGACAGUGUGUAAAUACAGGGUACAUACUGGCAAAAUGUACUAGGUGGAUCUGUGUAUCACAAUAGAAUAGAUAGAUAAUAUAUAGAUAAUAGGUAGAUAGAUAAGUAUGUAGGUAGGUACAUAUAUGUAGGUAGGUAGGCAAGUAGCAAAUAGAUAGUUGAUUGAUAUAGAUGUUAGAUGAUAAGCAAAUAGAAUAGCUAUUCAGACAGACAGAUUAGAUAGAUAAUAGAUAGAUAGAUUAUAGAUAAAUAGAUGGAUAGAUAUAAAAAGAGAUACAUGCAUGUAUACAUACAUAUAUACAUGCAUACAUAUACCAAAAGAUGGUUAAUGUUGGUUUAUACGUAGUCUAGGUUAAUUUCUUUAUCACGUCAAUGACCAACUUAAUUUUAAUAUUAGCAAAAAGGUACAAUGUUUUGCUGAAGGGCCUGUAUGACUAUUUUUUUUUUUACUCCAUUCCUGUUCUUGAGAUGUACAGAAACUCCACAUUUGAAUCACAGGGAGACUGCAAAACCACACUUGUGGGACUAUCAGUGAGGGAGUUUGUAAUCUACUUCCUACCAGAAAGAUAUCAUACAUGGUCAUCCAGUUUUGAGUCCAUUUUGCCAAGGCACAGUGGGGCUCCAGUGGGUGAAGAUGGCAGGAUGUGAAAGGCAGGGUGCAGAAGGCAGUGAGCUGACCAGGUUGUGGAGCCAGUGAGCAGCUCAGGAUGCCUGAGGUUGGAGAUGGCACUUUCCAACCAACAGUUCUUUGAAUGAUUCUAGACCACAGUGCUCCCCCUUCCCCAAGCUGACCAUGUAUGGGUUUGACUUGCCAGAAUAAAAAAGGCCAUCUGCUCUUCU
rnacentral:lncRNA from 1 species